UACGGAGGGGGCGAGCGUUGUCCGAAGUUACUGGGCGUAAAGCGCGCGUAGGCGGGUUGGUAAGUCCGCUGUGAAAGCCCGGAGCUCAACUCCGGAGGGUCGGUGGAUACUGCCAGUCUUGAAGGUGCUAGGGGGAGAUGGAAUUACCGGUGUAGCGGUGAAAUGCGUAGAGAUCGGUAGGAACACCAGUGGCGAAGGCGGUCUCCUGGGGCAUUCUUGACGCUGAUGCGCGAAAGCUGGGGGAGCGAACGGU
rnacentral:rRNA from 1 species